UACGUAGGGCGCAAGCGUUGUCCGGAAUUAUUGGGCGUAAAGAGCUCGUAGGCGGCCGGUUGCGUCUGCUGUGAAAUCCCGGGGCUUAACCCCGGGCGUGCAGUGGAUACGGGGCCGGCUGGAGGCAGGCAGGGGAGAAUGGAAUUCCCGGUGUAGCGGUGAAAUGCGCAGAUAUCGGGAGGAACACCGGUGGCGAAGGCGGUUCUCUGGGCCUGUACUGACGCUGAGGAGCGAAAGCGUGGGGAGCGAACAGG
rnacentral:rRNA from 1 species